rnacentral:rRNA from 1 species
UACGGAGGGUGCAAGCGUUAUCCGGAAUCACUGGGUUUAAAGGGUGCGUAGGCGGCUGUAUAAGUCAGGGGUGAAAGGCUACAGCUUAACUGUGGAAUUGCCUUUGAUACUGUAUAGCUUGAAUAAGGAUGAGGUUGGCGGAAUGUGGCAUGUAGCGGUGAAAUGCAUAGAUAUGCCAUAGAACACCAAUUGCGAAGGCAGCUAACUGGACCUUUAUUGACGCUGAGGCACGAAAGCGUGGGGAUCAAACAGG